CCUUUGCUGAGGAUGCGGUUAACGGAGCGAAAGCGACGUUCAACCGCAAAAGAAGCAGAGGGGGCUUAGUGGUGGGGUGACUGCGUACCUUUUGUAUAAUGGGUCAGCGACUUAUAUUCUGUAGCAAGGUUAACCGAAUAGGGGAGCCGGAGGGAAACCGAGUCUUAAUUGGGCGUUAAGUUGCAGGGUAUAGACCCGAAACCCGGUGAUCUAGCCAUGGGCAGGUUGAAGGUUGGGUAACACUAACUGGAGGACCGAACCGACUAAUGUUGAAAAAUUAGCGGAUGACCUGUGGCUGGGGGUGAAAGGCCAAUCAAACCGGGAGAUAGCUGGUUCUCCCCGAAAGCUAUUUAGGUAGCGCCUCGUGAAUUCAUCUCCGGGGGUAGAGCACUGUUUCGGCUAGGGGGCCAUCCCGGCUUACCAACCCGAUGCAAACUGCGAAUACCGGAGAAUGUUAUCACGGGAGACACACGGCGGGUGCUAACGUCCGUCGUGAAGAGGGAAACAACCCAGACCGCCAGCUAAGGUCCCAAAGUCAUGGUUAAGUGGGAAACGAUGUGGGAAGGCCCAGACAGCCAGGAUGUUGGCUUAGAAGCAGCCAUCAUUUAAAGAAAGCGUAAUAGCUCACUGGUCGAGUCGGCCUGCGCGGAAGAUGUAACGGGGCUAAACCAU
rnacentral:rRNA from 1 species